UACGUAGGGUGCAAGCGUUGUCCGGAAUUAUUGGGCGUAAAGAGCUCGUAGGCGGUUUGUUGCGUCGGCUGUGAAAUCCCGAGGCUCAACCUCGGGUCUGCAGUCGAUACGAGCAAACUAGAGUGUUUGCAGGGGAGACUGGAAUUCCUGGUGUAGCGGUGAAAUGCGCAGAUAUCAGGAGGAACACCGGUGGCGAAGGCGGGUCUCUGGGCAACAACUGACGCUGGAGGAGCGAAAGCGUGGGGAGCGAACAGG
rnacentral:rRNA from 1 species